rnacentral:rRNA from 1 species
GCCGGGAGGAAGGUGGGGAUGACGUCAAGUCCUCAUGGCCUUUAUGCCCAGGGCUACACACGUGCUACAAUGGGUGGUACAAAGAGAUGCCAACUCGCGAGAGCGCGCCAAUCUCAGAAAGCCAUCCUCAGUUCGGAUUGGAGUCUGCAACUCGACUCCAUGAAGUUGGAAUCGCUAGUAAUCGCGGAUCAGCACGCCGCGGUGAAUACGUUCCCGGGCCUU